rnacentral:tRNA from 1 species
UAGCUCAGUUGGUAGAGUGUUUGCUUCAUGUGCAUAGGGCCCUGGGUUCAAUCCCCAG